rnacentral:tRNA from 1 species
UGCCAGAUUGCUUAAUUGGUAGAGCACCUGACUAGAGAUUCAGGGGGCCUGGGUUCAAAUCCUGGUCUGGUCC